GGGGCCAUAGCUCAGCUGGGAGAGCGCCUGCUUUGCAAGCAGGAUGUCGUCGGUUCGAUCCCGUCUGGCUCCA
rfam:Devosia sp. S37 DIN_R1_(paired)_trimmed_(paired)_contig_6, whole genome shotgun sequence.